GGGCCAGUAGGUUGGUCGUGCCACCGGUACGUACUGGUCUUACUGAUUCCUCCUUCCUGAAGAACCGUAAUGCCAUUAAUUUGGUGUUGCGGGGAAUCAGGACUGUUACUUUGAAAAAAUUAGAGUGUUUAAAGCAAGCUAACGCUUGAAUACAUUAGCAUGGAAUAAUGAAAUAGGACGAUCGAUCCUAUUUUGUUGGUUUCUAGGAUUGACGUA
rnacentral:rRNA from 1 species